UACGAGGGGUGCAAGCGUUAUUCGGAUUGACUGGGCGUAAAGGGUGUGUAGGCGGUAUGCCAAGUCUGCUGUUAAAUCUUUCGGCUUAACCGAAAGCUUGCGGUGGAAACGGGCAUACUAGAGUAUGGAAGAGAGAAGUGGAAUUCUCGGAGUAGCGGUAAAAUGCGUAGAUCUCGAGAGGAACACCAAUGGCGAAGGCAGCUUCUUGGUCCAUUUCUGACGCUGAGGCACGAAAGCGUGGGGAGCAAACAGG
rnacentral:misc_RNA from 1 species